CGGGGCUGAGGGAGGGUGGGGCCACGGCCUGUCUAGUUCACUGCCUACCGAGCCUUGUAGCGUUUCUUUCCUCACCUGGGCUUUCUCUAUUCAUAGACACACAGCUUUUUAACGUUGAUGAAGCUAAGACCUCAGCCUGUCUUUUGCCACAUUCCCGGGAGAUUAUUCAAACUGUACCAGUCUCUCGGAUAUAGGGGUAGGGUGGAGCCAGAGAGCCGUGGGCUUGGGGUCGGGAACACCACUGCCCUACUCCUGUCUAUGCAAAUAGUGAGGAUUAGGAUAGGGAAGGCUGUAGCCACUUGUUCUCCAUCCGGUGAUUGGGGCGUAGCCGCGGUAGCACGAGGAACAUUUUGUACGCAUGCGCUCCGUUUUCCUCAUCACGUGUUGCAGUGUUGCUCCUCGGUGGGGUGACGUGAGGCGGAUUGCUCGGGCGGGACAGGGUUCGGGAUAGGACAGCUACACAUAAGUACAGCGGGACUCCGACACUGCGGGGCGCCUGGGCUCGGACAACUGGCCUGGGAGAUUUGACAAGCCCUGACUCCCAUUCCAGAAGACCCUUUCGUAUGUGUGGCUGCAGGCGGCUACAGACAGAGACAUUAGAUCCUCCUGGAGUUACAGCAUUCUGAUUCUGCUGGAGUAUCCUGUCUCAGUUCUGCAUCCUACACUACAGGAAACAGUACACUGGCCAGAAGAACGUGAUUGUCUGACUCACCUGGGAUAGAUGCUAAUGACCUCAAAGUUGGACUUCUGUUAGGAAGGAAAAAGAGGGUAGCUAUUGGAGUAGUUUGCUAGCAGGUUCUGUUCAGGGAGGGAAGGGGUGUUGCAUCAGCAGGUCUUAUGUCUAUGUCCAGGAAGCAUGGGGCUAGUGAGGACAUUUGGCUCCCAGAUGGAGGCUGAAGGGACUGCGACAUUCAGCCUCCCUGGCUGUGUGCCUGGUGUUCUGUUGUGUGUGCCAACAGUGUCUCUGAGUCAGCCCUUUCAUCCUUUUUACCCGUAGUCCCUGCGCUGUGCAGCUUUUGUAAGAGAAGUCCUGUCCUGUCACCUUCCCACUGACUUCCUCACUUUUAAUCUUUUUAGGUUUUCACGUUUCCUUCCCAUAGUUCCUCUGGUUGGUUGAUGUAGUUUUUUAUAGAUUUAUUUAUUUUAUGUAUAUGUAUAUGUAUAUGUAUAUGGCAUCAAUUCCAGUAUAGAUAGUUGUGAGCCACCAUGUGGUUGCUGGGAAUUGAACUCAGGACCUCUGGAAGAACAGUCAGUGCUCUUAACCGCUGAGCUAUCUCUCCAGCCCUGGUUGAUGUAGUUUUUUCAUACAGGGACUCUCUAUAUAACCCAUACUGGCCUGUAACUUGCUGUGUAGCUUAGGUUAGUCUCAAGACUGCAAUCCUCCUGCUUUUGCCACACAUAUUCUGGAAUUACAGUCGUAUGGCACCAUGCCCCAAUGCCUAUGGUUUCUUUGUGUAAAUAUAAGCAAAUGACUGUACAUUCUUAUUUCUCUUUGAUUAUAGUAUUACCUUUUAAAAAUGUAUGUAUGUGUUAGUAUGUAUAUAUGCCACAUGUGUGCAUGUGCCCACAGAGGGCAAAAGAGGACACAGAAUCCCCUGGAACAAGAGUUACAGGCAGGUGUGAGCCACCUUGAUGUGGGUGCUGAGAACCCAACUUCAGUCCUCUGCAAGAGCAGCAAAUGCUCCUACCAUCUUUCCAAUUCUUACCAUGCAUGCACGCACAGCAGACAGUUAUGUUUGCUGUUUCUUGCAUUAGGACAGGAUCUGAUUAUGUAGCCCUCUCUGAUAUGACCUGGAACUCACGGAAAUCUGCUCCCACCUGCUGAGGCUAAAGGCAUGCCCCACCAUUACACUAGUUUUCCAUUCCUGGUGUCAUUUCUCUUCUAUGUGUCAUUGUUUAAUACUGAAAAUUGAUCAAUUCGAAGAAAAACAUUAA